CCUACGGGUGGCUGCAGUGGGGAAUAUUGGACAAUGGGCGCAAGCCUGAUCCAGCAAUGCCGCGUGUGUGAAGAAGGCCUGCGGGUUGUAAAGCACUUUAAGCAGGAAAGAAGGGGUGAAAGUUAAUACCUUUCAUCAUUGACGUUACCUGCAGAAUAAGCACCGGCUAACUCCGUGCCAGCAGCCGCGGUAAUACGGAGGGUGAUUGCGGUAAUCGGAAUUACUGGGGGUGGUGCGCGCGUUGGCGGGUGAAAGCCCUGGGCUGAACCUGGGAACUGCGGUGGAUACUGUCGGGCUAGAGUGUGGUAGAGGGGAGUGGAAUUUCCGGUGUAGCAGUGAAAUGCGUAGAGAUCGGAAGGAACACCAGUGGCGAAGGCGGCUCCCUGGACUAACACUGACGCUGAGGUGCGAAAGCGUGGGGAGCAAACAGGAUUAGAUACCCCAGUAGUC
rnacentral:rRNA from 1 species